GCAUAUCAAUAAGCGGAGGAAAAGAAACCAACAGGGAUUGCCUUAGUAGCGGCGAGUGAAGCGGCAAAAGCUCAAAUUUGAAAUCUGGCUCUUUCAGAGUCCGAGUUGUAAUUUGAAGAAGGUAUCUUUGGGUCUGGCUCUUGUCUAUGUUUCUUGGAACAGAACGUCACAGAGGGUGAGAAUCCCGUGCGAUGAGAUGAUCCAGGCCUAUGUAAAGUUCCUUCGAAGAGUCGAGUUGUUUGGGAAUGCAGCUCUAAGUGGGUGGUAAAUUCCAUCUAAAGCUAAAUAUUGGCGAGAGACCGAUAGCGAACAAGUACAGUGAUGGAAAGAUGAAAAGAACUUUGAAAAGAGAGUGAAAAAGUACGUGAAAUUGUUGAAAGGGAAGGGCUUGAGAUCAGACUUGGUAUUUUGUAUGUUACUUCUUCGGGGGUGGCCUCUACAGUUUAUCGGGCCAGCAUCAGUUUGGGCGGUAGGAGAAUUGCGUUGGAAUGUGGCACGGCUUCGGUUGUGUGUUAUAGCCUUCGUCGAUACUGCCAGCCUAGACUGAGGACUGCGGUUUAUACCUAGGAUGUUGGCAUAAUGAUCUUAAGUCGCCCGUCUUGAG
rnacentral:rRNA from 1 species